rnacentral:lncRNA from 1 species
ACUCCUCUCCCCUGCAGCCAGUUCUCCACGUGGCCACCAGAGGAUGCUUCUGGAAGGUAAAUCUCAUGUUCACCACCAUCCACCCUGGCUUUAAAAUCUUUAGUGGUUUCUUUCUGCUCUUAUAGCAAAGAUGCAACACCCAAAUGUGGCCUGAGGGUCUCAGCACGGUUCUGCUCUGACCUCCUUCACUCUUACCCUCCAAGCACCAGGGUCUUCUCAGGCAAUUUUUUUCAGACCAGACAUUUGCUAUGAUCCCUCCGGCCACAGGGCCUAUGCCCAGUCUCUUUCCACUUCCUGCAAUGCUUUUCCCUUCCCUCUGUCACCCACCCUAGUCUUCACAUCUCAGUUUCAGCCCAUGUCCUCAGGGAACCUUCUCUGACCUUCCUGGGUGGGUCACACAGUACUUAUUACAGCGCAUCGUAUUUACUUGCAUGAUACUUUUUUGAAAUAUGUCCCUCCUUCUCUAGACUGUCAGAUUCACAUGAGCAGAAACAGCACCUGGUUUUGGACCCCAUUUUAUGCUGAGCCUAGCAUAUAGUAGGCUUUCAAGAAAUCCAUGAACAAAUAACUAAAGAGCUGUGACCUUCAAACAAGCUACUUCAAGCUUGUUGAGCCUUGGGUAACGAUGGCUAUGCCAGAGAGACAUGGGAGACUUCAAUGACAUAAAAUGGAUGAUAUUUUAUAAACAACAAUUGGCGCACACUGUACAAAUUAAGUGAUUUUUUUUAAAUGUGGGUCUACCCACCUCUAAGCCUUUCAUCUAAUUUGAUACCUUCCACAGAGAUACCUUGAUCUAAAUGCCACCUCUGCUGAGUUUCUUUUAGCGCCUUUUGCAUUAUGAAAAGUCAGUAUCUCAUUGAAUCUUCUCAUCAAAACAGCCAGACAUUUACCAUGUGUUCCAAGUGCUUUAUAUAAAUUAACUUUCAGCCCUUGCAACCCACCUUCAAAGGUAAAUACUAUCAUUAUCCCCAUUUCACAGACGAGGAACUGAGGCACCAAGGAAAAUGAAAACUUUCCAGUAGGCACACCCCUAGAAAGUGGUGGAUUCAGGGUUGAACGAACACAGUUUAAUGCCGGUCUCCACUCUGAGCCAUUAAACAACAGUGGUGGAACACACACCAAACAACAAAUGGGGAAACUGAGGCCCAGAGAGCUUUCAUCAUAGCUUCUGCCUGACUCCCAGCUGCAACUCCUAACAUAAGUCUCUGCUCAUGUGAAAGAGUUCAGUGUCCUCACCCAAUGGAGAGUUUCCUUAUCAUUGUCCUUAACCAAUGGAGAGUUUCUUGUGUCCAUAUAUCCAGUGUCCUUACCCAGUGGAGAGUUUCUCGAACCCAUGACUACACCAUGCUUUUAAGCACACCAGGCUCCUAGGAUACCACAGGUGCCCCAGCUGGUUUGCACCUGUGGGCAAAGUUUGCCCUGCAUUCCUGGGCACGUGAUUAUACCUAUAUUGGGGUGAAUUUCUGUGACUUUCCCAGAUGCAUGUAUCUGACACCCCCACCUACCAACCGUGAACUGUUAUAAUUCCAUCAACAUUUGCCAAGCAAGAUUGUACCACAUGGAACUCUGCAGUGAGCAGAGGUUACAGAGUGAGGCUUUGGCCAAAUAGGUCUGGGUUCAAAUCAUUCAUUCAUUCAUUUUGUUAACAAACACUGUAGAGCUUUGGCUGUAUGAUGGGCCUGUGUUACCAACUCAGGAUACCAAGGUAAACCCAGGAAACACAGGUGCCGCUAUCAGAAACCCAGAGCCUGGAGGGGUAGACAGACACUAAACACAACAACAAGCAAGAAAAUUGGCAAUUGUGAUACAAGCUACGAUGAAAAUAAACAGGAUGAUGUGAUGAAACAAAACUGAGAGUGAGGGGUUAGAACAGGGCCAUGAUCUUCUCCCCAUCAAGCUAAAUGUGUUUGGGCAAGUCUCGUAAUCCCUCCAAACCUGUUUCCAAAUCUGUUCAUGGUGAUGGUUAAUCUCAAGGCACAUAUAAAAUGCUCAGAAAUGAAAGCUAUGCCUUUCUGGAACCCAGGCACCAGGCAUUCAGGUGUGAACAAAGCUAUCCAUGCAGUCCGGGAGGGGAGCCAGAGAGAAGCAAGCAUGUGCGACCAGCAUUAAAGGGGCAGCUGCAGUCAGUCCUCUCUGGAGCCCUGUCCUUGUUCUUCCCAACACAGCCUUGUGCGUAUGCUGAUGCUGCAUGAAAUCCCUGCUUCUUCAUCGUUCGUCACAAGAGCCCAUGAUGCCUUGUCAGAUGACACCUCUGAUCCCAGGAGGAUCCAUGCCGUGGAGACAAACAACUCAUUAUUUGCCUUGAUGACCUGUCAUCUCAUAGACACCUCCCUGGAUGGAUGGAGCACUGGAAUUUGGGCUACCAGAGAGUUCCGCCUCGGUUAGCAGAAGUAAUUUGCCCGUGUCCUUAUGCAACAUGCUGACCUGGUCGGUCAUUUAAAUGAAAGGGCACGGCAGCCAUGCAAAACUCUAUCUCCCUAAUGCUUUUCUUCCCAUUGCUUUCUUCUUCUUGAAAUAUAAAAACGACCCUGUUGUA